UGUAGUCAUAUGCUUGUCUCAAAGAUUAAGCCAUGCAUGUCUAAGUACAAACUAAAUUAUGGUGAAACUGCAAAUGGCUCAUUACAACGGUUAUGACGUACCCGGGAUCUCCGAUGGAUAUUUCCAGUAACACUAGAACUAAUACAUGUAACUGCGUUUAUUAGUUUCAAACAAAUCUGUCGCUGAGUCAUGGUAAACGGUUGAUCGACUCGACGUCCCGGAACGGUUUCCGCCCCAUCAGCUUCGAUGGUUGGGUAUUGGCCUACCAUUGCAACAACGGGUAACGGGGAAU
rnacentral:rRNA from 1 species